rnacentral:lncRNA from 1 species
CCGCAUCUACUUUAAGCUGCUGCUGGAGUUCUUCAUACUUUCGUUGAACCUCAGCUUCUCUCGCUGCUGCAUCUGCUUUCAGUUGUAGCUGGAGUUCUUCAUAUCUUUUUUGAACCUCAGCUUCUCUCGAUGUUGCCUCCGCUUUAAGUUGUGUAAUUUGCUAAAUUGUUGUCGCUUGCAUCUGAGCCAUCUGGUCUCUUAACCUCUGAACUUCAGCUUCGGCUCGACUCCUCGAAGGCAUAUAUUGUUGCG